AUGGCUAUGUUGACGGCUGAGGUGAUCUGGUUACGGUGGUUACUUGAGGAUUUUGGUGUGUCUGCUACUACCUCAACUCCUCUCCUGUCUGACAGCACAGGUGCUAUCAGUAUUGCGCGUGACCCGGUGAAGCAUGAGCUUACCAAGCACAUCGGUGUGGAUGCCCACUUUGUGCGUGCUGCUGUGCAGGAUCAGACUCUUGCUCUUCACUAUGUGCCCUCGGAGUUACAGUUGACUGACUUCUUCACGAAGGCCCAAACUCGGGCACAGCAUGGGUUUUUCCUCUCCAAACUCAGUGUUGUUGAUCCACCAUGA
rnacentral:rRNA from 1 species